AUGCCCAAGCUAGCUGACCUAAUAACCAAGGAGUACAACCUUCAGAGGGGUGUCAGGGGCGAGAUCAUGUUCCUCAAAGCCGAGAUGGAGAGCAUGCAGACGGCUCUCCUCAAGGUUUCCGAGGCACCGAUCGACCAGCCACCGGACAUCCAAGUCAAGCUUUGGGCCAAGGCUGUGAGGGACCUGUCGUACGACCUCGAAGACAGCAUCGACAAGUUCAUGGUGCGCAUCGAAACCCAUGAACCAGAGAAGUCGCAUAGCUUCAGGAAUUUCAUUGAUAAGAGUCUCAGCCUACUGACCAAGGGCAAGAUUCACCACAAGAUCGGCAUCGAUAUCAAAGAUAUCAAGAGCCGUAUCAAGGAGGUCAGCGAGCGCCGUUAUAGGUACAAGGUUGACAGUGUGGUUACCAAGCCAACCAGACAAACUGUUGAUGCCCUUCGCCUAUCAACCUUGUAUAAAAAGGCAACCAACCUCGUUGGCACAGACAAGAAGAGCCUUGAGGUAAUCAAGAUGCUGACUGAGGGAGAUGAGAUUUCCAAGGAACAGCUUCGGGUGGUCUCUAUUGCUGGACUUGGUGGAUUAGGAAAGACAACCCUGGCUAAUACAGUGUAUGAGAAGCUUAAAGUGCAUUUCGAUUUUACGGCUUUCGUUUCCUUGUCUCUUAAUCCUAACAUGGAGAAAAUUUUCAAGAGCUUGCUCCAUCAACUUCACAAGCAAAAGUACGAGAAUAUCAACGAGGCUGCAUGGGGCGAAGCACAACUCAUCAGUGAGAUAAGAACAUUUCUUGAAAACAAGAAGUACUUGAUUGUUAUUGACGACAUAUGGGAUAAAUCUGUCUGGGAAAACAUCAAAUAUUCGUUGACAGUGAAUGAGCAUGCAAGUAGAGUAAUCACAACAACUCGCAUUCUUAAUAUUGCCGAGCAAGCUGGUGAUGUUUAUCGGCUGGAACCACUUUCUGUUGUUGACUCAAGAAAGUUGUUCCACCAAAGAAUAUAUGAGACCGAGAACAAAUCACCACCUAAUCAAUUGUUUGAAAUAUCUGAGAAAAUUUUAAGAAGAUGUGGUGGAGUGCCGUUAGCUAUCAUUACAAUAGGUAGCUUGCUGUCCAGCAAAACGGAAAGAGAACAUACACAAGAGUAUUGGUCCAAGGUGUACAAAUCAUUGGGUUCAGGGUUAGACAAUGGUCAUGAUGAUGUGAAGAACAUGAGGAGGAUAUUAUCCGUCAGUUACUCUGACCUACCUCCACACCUCAAGACUUGUAUACUGCAUCUUUGUUUGUAUCCAGAGGAUUAUGAGAUUCAAACUGAACGGUUGAUAUGGAAAUGGGUGGGUGAAGGUUUUGUGAAAAAAGAACAUGGGAGGAGCUUAUGUGAAGUAGGAGAGGAUUACUUUGACCAGCUCAUUAAUAAAAGUUUGGUCCAACCUGUAAAAAUCGACAAUGGGAAUAAAGUACACUCUUGUCGCAUACACGACAUGGUGCGUGACCUCAUCACUUCCUUGUCAACUGAGGAGAACUUCGUAACGAUAGUAGGUUGUCAGCAACCAGUCUAUCUACCAAGUAAAAUCCGCCGACUGUCUGUCCAGACCAACAUUGAAGAGGUUGCUAAUCAGCUUCCAACCAUGAGCUUGUCCUAUAUAAGGGCACUUACUGUGUCUAGUCUCGCUUUCAGUUUGUUGCCAGCACUUACGGGUUUUCCAAUCCUACGUGUGCUGGAUUUAACUGACUGCAAGCAAGUGGAUAAUAAUCAUUGGAAGGAUAUAUGCAGUUUGUUUCACUUGAGAUAUUUGAGUUUAAAAGGUACAUCUAUCACUAAGAUCCCGAAAGGUAUUGCGGAUCUGCAAUUUCUUGAAGUGUUGGACAUAAGGUCCACUGAAAUAGAUGAAAAGCUGCCGUCAACCAUUAUUCAGUUAACACGUCUGUUGUUACUCCACAUGCUUGAUAGCAUCACUUGUGCAGUGCCAAGGUGGAUCUGCUCCAUGUGUUGCCUCUUUUCCCUAAGUAUCAGACUUGAACUGGGAGAGGAGGAUCUUCAAGUCUUAGGCAGUAUACUGUCUCUCAGUGAACUGCACAUACAAGUGAAGAAACCUACACAAGGCAGAGAUAAACGGCUGGUCAUUGACGGUCGCUACCUAUUUCAAUGUCUAAUGAGGUUCAGAGUCGAGAGUGAAACCAUGGAGUUAAUGUUUGCACGGGGAGCCAUGCAAAGUCUCCAAACCCUGCGGUUAGAAUUUAAAGAUGUCCCUAACUCAUUGGUUCAGUUUGGUGCUCCUAUGUUCGGUUUAGAGAAUCUCUCUUCACUUGAGCAUAUCAAUGUUGAGUUCAGAAAUGGUGAAGACGGCAAUGAGAUACGAAAUAUGAGAAAUGCAGUGAAGAGAGAAAUCUAUAUGAAUCGAAACAAGCCCAAACUGGAUUUCCCACAAACAACAGGGCGGCGGCAUGAGCUAAGGGCGGCGAGCAGGGGGUCUGAGCGGGAGGUCUCUGGAGCUGAGAGCUAG
rnacentral:rRNA from 1 species